CCUACGGGAGGCUGCAGUGAGGAAUAUUGGUCAAUGGACGAGAGUCUGAACCAGCCAAGUAGCGUGAAGGAUGACUGCCCUAUGGGUUGUAAACUUCUUUUAUAUGGGAAUAAAAUGUUCCACGUGUGGGAUUUUGUAUGUACCAUAUGAAUAAGGCUCGGCUAACUCCGUGCCAGCAGCCGCGGUAAUACGGAGGAUCCGAGCGUUAUCCGGAUUUAUUGGGUUUAAAGGGAGCGUAGGUGGAUUGUUAAGUCAGUUGUGAAAGUUUGCGGCUCAACCGUAAAAUUGCAGUUGAAACUGGCAGUCUUGAGUACAGUAGAGGUGGGCGGAAUUCGUGGUGUAGCGGUGAAAUGCUUAGAUAUCACGAAGAACUCCGAGUGCGAAGGCAGUUCACUGGACUGCAACUGACACUGAGGCUCGAAAGUGUGGGUAUCAAACAGGAUUAGAUACCCGGGUAGUC
rnacentral:rRNA from 1 species